rnacentral:rRNA from 1 species
GACGAACGCUGGCGGCGUGCCUAAUACAUGCAAGUCGAGCGGACAGAUGGGAGCUUGCUCCCUGAAGUCAGCGGCGGACGGGUGAGUAACACGUGGGCAACCUGCCUGUAAGACUGGGAUAACUUCGGGAAACCGGAGCUAAUACCGGAUACGUUCUUUUCUCGCAUGAGAGAAGAUGGAAAGAUGGUUUCGGCUAUCACUUACAGAUGGGCCCGCGGCGCAUUAGCUAGUUGGUGAGGUAAUGGCUCACCAAGGCGACGAUGCGUAGCCGACCUGAGAGGGUGAUCGGCCACACUGGGACUGAGACACGGCCCAGACUCCUACGGGAGGCAGCAGUAGGGAAUCUUCCGCAAUGGACGAAAGUCUGACGGAGCAACGCCGCGUGAACGAUGAAGGCCUUCGGGUCGUAAAGUUCUGUUGUUAGGGAAGAACAAGUACCAGGGUAACUGCUGGUACCUUGACGGUACCUAACCAGAAAGCCACGGCUAACUACGUGCCAGCCGCCGCUGUAAAAC